UACGAAAGGGGCUAGCGUUGUUCGGAAUUACUGGGCGUAAAGCGCACGUAGGCGGCUUGGUAAGUCGGGGGUGAAAUCCCGGAGCUCAACUCCGGAACUGCCUUCGAAACUGCUAGGCUAGAGGAUGCGAGAGGUUGGCGGAAUUCCGAGUGUAGAGGUGAAAUUCGUAGAUAUUCGGAAGAACACCAGUGGCGAAGGCGGCCAACUGGAGCAUUUCUGACGCUGAUGUGCGAUAGCGUGGGGAGCAUACAGG
rnacentral:rRNA from 1 species